rnacentral:rRNA from 1 species
GAUGAACGCUGGCUACAGGCUUAACACAUGCAAGUCGAGGGGUAACGAGAGGAAAGCUUGCUUUCCUUGUCGACGACCGGCGCACGGGUGAGUAACGCGUAUCCAACCUGCCCCCAACUAGGGAAUAACCUUGCGAAAGUAAGACUAAUACCCUAUAAUUUCCUCAGAUGUCAUCUGACGAGGAAUACAGAUUUAUCGUUUGGGGAUGGGGAUGCGUCUGAUUAGCUUGUUGGCGGGGUAACGGCCAACCAAGGCAACGAUCAGUAGGGGUUCUGAGAGGAAGGUCCCCCACAUUGGAACUGAGACACGGUCCAAACGCCUACGGGAGGCAGCAGUGAGGAAUAUUGGUCAAUGGGCGGAAGCCUGAACCAGCCAAGUAGCGUGCAGGAUGACGGCCCUAUGGGUUGUAAACUGCUUUUAUACAGGAAUAAAGUUAGCCACGUGUGGUUAUUUGUAGGUACUGUAUGAAUAAGGACCGGCUAAUUCCGUGCCAGCCGCCGCGGUAA